AGGCCGAUGAUUUUUUUUGGCCGACAUUCUUUCUCCUCCUACGCCGUUGCUUGUUUCACCAGAUCGAUCGUCGUCGGAUUAACCGUAGGGUACACUGUUUCCAGAUCAGACGACGGCGGUGCUGAUGCGGCGGCGGAGAAUCCAUGCGCAUGUGCUUGAUUGACAUCGAAGGUGGAUUUCAAUUUCAAAGGAAACAUAAAGGAACAAAGAGACAUUACACUGAGUUAGGCUGAAAUCUCUCUGAUCAGCCAGUUUAACGUCGGGAAAGCAAAAUAGAGGAUGAGAAACAAUGGGACAGCCAUUGCCUUAACGAGAGUAAAUUGCACCAAGGGCAAGCAACGAAGAAGGGAAGCUGGAAAGGUAUAGCUGAGGAUUUGAUGGUAUGGCCACACCAUAAGACGUAAGGCACAUUCUCAACGACGUUGAAUGAUUCCUAGUAAAUGGGACACUCCAAUCUUUCUUCCUUCGUUGUCUUUCUUCCAUUUCUAGAGGGAUCUAAAGGAGCUUUUCUAUAUUUUGUGGCAUAGAAAUACUCUAAUGUAAUGGUUUACAUUCAGGUUGGUGUCUUCAAAUUAAUGAUUUAUCAAAAUAAUAAUUUUUUU